GGCGUACGGCUCAGUAACACGUAGUCAACCUGCCCUGGAGACAUGGACAACCCCGGGAAACUGGGAUUAAUCCGUGAUAGGUCAUCUCAUCUGGAAGGAGAGAUGGCUUAAAGGGAUGCGCGGGCUUCUUCUGCGUAUUUGCUCCAGGAUGGGACUGCGUCCGAUCAGGCUGUUGGCGGGGUAAUGGCCCACCAAGCCAGUAACCGGUACGGGCCUUGAGAGAGGUGGCCCGGAGAUGGACACUGAGAGAAGGGUCCAGGUCCUACGGGGCGCAGCAGGCGCGAAACCUUCGCAAUGCGCGCAAGCGUGACGAGGUUAAUCCGAGUGAUUUCCGCUGAGGAGACCUUUUGUCUGCUGUAAAUAGGCAGGCGAAUAAGGGGAGGGCAAGCCUGGUGUCAGCCGCCGCGGUAAUACCAGCUCCUCGAGUGGUCGGGGCGAUUAUUGGGCCUAAAGCAUCCGUAGCCGGUUCCGUAGGUCCUCUGUUAAAUCCAACCGCCCAACGGUUGACCUGCAGAGGAUACCGCGAGACUAGGAGGCGGGAGAGGCGGACGGUACUCCGCGUGUAGGGGUAAAAUCCUUUGAUCCGCGGAAGA
rnacentral:rRNA from 1 species